rnacentral:tRNA from 1 species
GUUUUAAUAAUUUAAAUAUAAAAUUUUGAUUUUGUAAUUCAAAUAUAAGAUUAUUCUUUUAAAACU